UAGAAGAAAUGAAGCUAUUCACAUCAUCUGGCAGGAAGGAUAAUAUGAUGAAAAUGCUAGCACAAGGAAAUCAGCUCUUAUAACCACAUUAAAUGAACUAAACAUUAAAACUAGUUAACUCUGUGCUAUCUGAACCACCUUACCAAGGCCUAGGGCAUCACAGGGGUUCCAGAGAUUCACCUAUGACUUUAAAGAUAAAGAAUAGGGGUUGUGGAGGGGAGACAAAAGAGAGAAGGCUAGACACCAUAGCACCCUUUCAUCAUAUGUGGAGUUUCCUGCUGAUGCCAUGGUUCUCCUAUGUGGUGUCGAGACUCAAACUCAAGGCCUUGAGCAUGAAACUGCAAUAGUGUGAAUCUUUGAGCAGUAUCUGUAUGGGACAGAAGUCUUUGUGAAGCCAAGCUGGAGAUAUAGCUCCUCAGGUAGAGUACAUGUUUUGCCAUGCAUACUCCCAAGUUCAAGCCUUGACACCACAGGGGAGGUUCUGUGGUACUGAAAAAACUAAUGCUGUGGUAUCUUUCCCUUUCACUCUCUGGAUAAAAAAAAAGUCCUGGAAAAAUUGUGCAUGGGGCCCAGGUGGUGAUGCACCUGACUGAACACACAUAUUACAAUGUGCAAGGAGCUGAGGUCAAGACACCGGUCCCCACCUGCAGGGGAGAAGCUGGUGAAACAGUGC